CGCUGGCGGGUGCUUACACAUGCAGUCGAACGAUGAAGGCUCCUGCUUGCGGGGGUUGGAUUAGUGGCGAACGGGUGAGUAAUACGUGAGUAACCUGCCCCUUUCUCUUGGGAUAAGCCUUGGAAACGAGGUCUAAUACUAGAUAUUCUGCUUCUGCCGCAUGGUGGGGGUUGGAAAGGUUUUUUCUGGUGGGGGAUGGGCUCACGGCCUAUCAGCUUGUUGGUGGGGUGAUGGCCUACCAAGGCGUCGACGGGUAGCCGGCCUGAGAGGGUGACCGGCCACAUUGGGACUGAGAUACGGCCCAGACUCCUACGGGAGGCAGCAGUGGGGAAUAUUGCACAAUGGACGGAAGUCUGAUGCAGCGACGCCGCGUGGGGGAUGAAGGCUUUCGGGUUGUAAACUCCUUUUAACACUGAACAAGGCGAAAGUUGAGGGUAGGUGUUGAAUAAGCGCCGGCUAACUACGUGCCAGCAGCCGCGGUAAUACGUAGGGCGCGAGCGUUGUCCGGAAUUAUUGGGCGUAAAGAGCUCGUAGGCGGUUUGUCGCGUCUGCUGUGAAAGACCGGGGCUUAACUCCGGGGCUGCAGUGGGUACGGGCAGGCUAGAGUGCGGUAGGGGUAAUUGGAAUUCCUGGUGUAGCGGUGGAAUGCGCAGAUAUCAGGAGGAACACCGAUGGCGAAGGCAGGUUACUGGGCCGUUACUGACGCUGAGGAGCGAAAGCAUGGGGAGCGAACAGGAUUAGAUACCCUGGUAGUCCAUGCCGUAAACGUUGGGCACUAGGUGUGGGGCCUUUUCCAUGGGUUCUGUACCGUAGCUAACGCAUUAAGUGCCCCGCCUGGGGAGUACGGCCGCAAGGCUAAAACUCAAAGGAAUUGACGGGGGCCCGCACAAGCGGCGGAGCAUGCGGAUUAAUUCGAUGCAACGCGAAGAACCUUACCAAGGCUUGACAUGCACCGGGAUUAUGCAGAGAUGUGUGAGUCUUCGGACUGGUGUACAGGUGGUGCAUGGUUGUCGUCAGCUCGUGUCGUGAGAUGUUGGGUUAAGUCCCGCAACGAGCGCAACCCUUGUCUUGUGUUGCCAGCACGUUAUGGUGGGGACUCACGAGAGACUGCCGGGGUUAACUCGGAGGAAGGUGGGGAUGACGUCAAAUCAUCAUGCCCCUUAUGUCUUGGGCUUCACGCAUGCUACAAUGGCUGGGUACAAAAGGUUGCC
rnacentral:rRNA from 1 species